rnacentral:rRNA from 1 species
AAACCAAGGAGGUUAAGCCAUACUAUCUCGGUUAAAAGGUAGUUAGGCAGUAAAAUACGGUCAAUUUAAUAAUUAUUCAGAAGUAAAAUUCAUAAAUAUUUUAGAAAUCUGACUAUGGCAAAAUAGGCUGAAGCUAUGAGAGCUUUGAGGGAAACUGGGAUUAGAUACCCCACUAUUCUUAGGAGUAAACCAAUAGAGAUUUACCAGAGUACUAUGAAUAAAGAUAUUUAAAACUCAAAGAGCUUGGCGGUGUUUUAGACUCUUCAGGGGAACCUGUCUCAUAAUCGACAAUCCACGAUAAACCUGACCUUUGUUUGCUGACAGUUUGUAUACCGUCGUCGUCAGGUAACUUUUUAGAAUAAGGAAGUUAGCAUGCGAGCUGUAAAUAAGCUUUUACGUCAGAUCAAGGUGCAGCUAACACAAGGGGGAGGAUGGGUUACAAUUAUUACACUUAUAAAACGGAAUACUUGUCCGAAAGACAACUGUGAAGGAGGACUUGAAAGUAAAGUAAACUACAUAAACAACUUGAAUCAAGCUCUGAAACGUGC